rnacentral:rRNA from 1 species
AGCAGCCGCGGUAAUUCCAGCUCCAAUAGCGUAUAUUAAAGUUGUUGCAGUUAAAAAGCUCGUAGUUGAAUUUCGGGAUUGACGUGACGGUCGUGCCUUAAGGGGUAUGAACUGUCGCAGUUGAUUUCUCACCUUCUGGAGAAGCUUGAUGUCCUUAAUUGGGUGUCAUGUGGAACUAGGACCUUUACCUUGAAAAAAUUAGAGUGUUUAAAGCAGGCAUUUUUGCUCGAAUACAUUAGCAUGGAAUAAUAGAAUAGGACGGCAUGGUUCUAUUUUGUUGGUUUCUAGGAUCACCGUAAUGAUUAAUAGGGAUAGUUGGGGGCAUUAGUAUUCAAUUGUCAGAGGUGAAAUUCUUGGAUUUAUUGAAGACUAACUACUGCGAAAGCAUUUGCCAAGGAUGUUUUCAUUAAUCAAGAACGAAAGUUAGGGGAUCGAAGACGAUCAGAUACCGUCGUAGUCUUAACCAUAAACUAUGCCGACUAGGAAUCAGACGAUGUUAAUUUUUAAUUGACUCGUUUC